AAUUGAUAUGGCUCUUCAAUGGUGCUCAGAUGCUUAUUCAGACACAGUGCUAGGUUAUGCAAACAGCAUACGGACGAUUGAUGGUGGCACUCACAUAGAUGGUGUGAAAGCUGCCCUAACAAGAACCCUCAACAGUUUGGGAAAGAAGUCAAAGACAAUCAAGGAGAAGGAUAUAAACUUAAGCGGCGAGCAUGUAAGAGAGGGGUUAACUUGUGUUAUCUCUGUUAAAGUUCCGAAUCCAGAAUUUGAAGGACAAACUAAGACUAGGCUGGGAAAUCCUGAGGUAAGAAAGGUGGUCGAUCAGUCAGUUCAAGAGUAUCUGACUGAGUAUCUGGAAUUGCAUCCAGAUGUGCUAGAUUCAAUUCUUUCCAAGUCAUUAAAUGCUCUAAAGGCAGCUCUGGCAGCAAAGAGGGCUCGGGAGUUGGUGA
rnacentral:misc_RNA from 1 species